rnacentral:rRNA from 1 species
CAGCCGCCGCGGGAAAACAGAGGGUGCAAGCGUUAAUCGGAAUUACUGGGCGUAAAGCGCGCGUAGGUGGUUUGUUAAGUUGGAUGUGAAAUCCCCGGGCUCAACCUGGGAACUGCAUCCAAAACUGGCAAGCUAGAGUAUGGUAGAGGGUGGUGGAAUUUCCUGUGUAGCGGUGAAAUGCGUAGAUAUAGGAAGGAACACCAGUGGCGAAGGCGACCACCUGGACUGAUACUGACACUGAGGUGCGAAAGCGUGGGGAGCAAACAGGAUUAGAUACCCCUGUAGUCCCUGUCUCUUAUAC